GACGAACGCUGGCGGCGUGCUUAACACAUGCAGGUCGAACGGUGAAGCUCCAGCUUGCUGGAGUGGAUCAGUGGCGAACGGGUGAGUAACACGUGAGCAACCUGCCCCAGACUCUGGAAUAAGCGCUGGAAACGGCGUCUAAUACUGGAUACGAGAUCAAGCCGCAUGGUUAUGGUCUGGAAAGUUUUUCGGUUUGGGAUGGGCUCGCGGCCUAUCAGCUUGUUGGUGAGGUAAUGGCUCACCAAGGCGACGACGGGUAGCCGGCCUGAGAGGGCGACCGGCCACACUGGGACUGAGACACGGCCCAGACUCCUACGGGAGGCAGCAGUGGGGAAUAUUGCACAAUGGGCGAAAGCCUGAUGCAGCGACGCCGCGUGAGGGAUGACGGCCUUCGGGUUGUAAACCUCUUUCAGCAGGGAAGAAGCGAAAGUGACGGUACCUGCAGAAGAAGCACCGGCUAACUACGUG
rnacentral:rRNA from 1 species